AGUGAACGCUGGCGGUAGGCCUAACACAUGCAAGUCGAACGGCAGCACAGUAAGAGCUUGCUCUUACGGGUGGCGAGUGGCGGACGGGUGGGGAAUACAUCGGAAUCUACUUUUUCGUGGAGGAUAACGUAGGGAAACUUACGCUAAUACCGCAUACGACCUACGGGUGAAAGCAGGGGAUCUUCGGACCUUGCGCGAUUGAAUGAGCCGAUGUCGGAUUAGCUAGUUGACGGGGUAAAGGCCCACCAAGGCGACGAUCCGUAGCUGGUCUGAGAGGAUGAUCAGCCACACUGGAACUGAGACACGGUCCAGACUCCUACGGGAGGCAGCAGUGGGGAAUAUUGGACAAUGGGCGCAAGCCUGAUCCAGCCAUACCGCGUGGGUGAAGAAGGCCUUCGGGUUGCAAAGCCCUUUUGUUGGGAAAGAAAAGCAGCAGGUUAAUACCCCGCUGUUCUGACGGUACCCAAAGAAUAAGCACCGGCUAACUUCGUG
rnacentral:rRNA from 1 species